ACAUUUUGUUCACCACCUUUUGCUAAUAAUAGUAUGUGACUUCAGCGACAAAUACGGAAAAAAUGUGAAUUACACGCACAAUCAGAAACAUUGUCCCUAUGCAUUUAUUGCAUCCCACUAUGCAUUUAUUGCAUCAGAGCUUAAACUUAUACAAAUAGCCAUAUUUAAGCAGCCAAUAAUACAAUAUUACUUGCGAUGAAAUAAUAAUAAAAAUGACAUAUAAAAUAUAACAUAUAAAAUAUAAUGGCAAGAACAGUAAAAAAAAGAUCGCAGAUGCUUAUUUUGAAUUUUAAAUGUGGUUAUAAUGUUGAACACAAGUAGAAUAGAAAAUACGGCUUUCUUGAAUUUUUGAAAAAGUUUUAUUUUUAUGUAUAAACUAU